rnacentral:rRNA from 1 species
CACGGAAGGGGCAAGCGUUACUCGUACGUAUUGGGCGUAAAGGGCGCGUAGGCUGCCGAUCAAGUCGGGGGUGAAAGCCUGUGGCUCAACCACAGAAUUGCCUUCGAUACUGUUUGGCUAGAGACCGGAAGAGGUUAGUGGAACUGCGAGUGUAGAGGUGAAAUUCGUAGAUAUUCGCAAGAACACCAGUGGCGAAGGCGGCUAACUGGUCCGGUUCUGACGCUGAGGCGCGAAAGCGUGGGGAGCAAACAGG